GUCCACGCUGUAAACGAUGUGUGUUUGUCGCUGGGGAGUUUACUCUUCGGUGACGGAGCUAACGCGUUAAGCACACCGCCUGGGAAGUACGGUCGCAAGAUUAAAACUCAAAGGAAUUGACGGGGACCCGCACAAGCGGUGGAGUAUGUGGUUUAAUUCGUCGCAACGCGAAGAACCUUACCAGGCCUUGACAUGCCCUCUAUGGAAUCCAGAGACGGAUUUCUUCACUUCGGGUGGGAGGGACACAGGUGCUGCAUGGCUGUCGU
rnacentral:rRNA from 1 species